rnacentral:rRNA from 1 species
CCUACGGGAGGCAGCAGUGGGGAAUAUUGGACAAUGGGGGGAACCCUGAUCCAGCCAUGCCGCGUGUGUGAAGAAGGCCCUCGGGUUGUAAAGCACUUUCAGUGAGGAAGAACGCCUGGUGGUUAAUACCCAUCAAGAAAGACAUCACUCACAGAAGAAGCACCGGCUAACUCCGUGCCAGCAGCCGCGGUAAUACGGAGGGUGCGAGCGUUAAUCGGAAUUACUGGGCGUAAAGCGCGCGUAGGUGGCUUGAUAAGCCGGUUGUGAAAGCCCCGGGCUCAACCUGGGAACGGCAUCCGGAACUGUCAAGCUAGAGUGCAGGAGAGGAAGGUAGAAUUCCCGGUGUAGCGGUGAAAUGCGUAGAGAUCGGGAGGAAUACCAGUGGCGAAGGCGGCCUUCUGGACUGACACUGACACUGAGGUGCGAAAGCGUGGGUAGCAAACAGGAUUAGAUACCCUUGUAGUC